UACGUAGGGGGGCAAGCGUUGUCCGGAAUCAUUGGGCGUAAAGAGCGUGUAGGCGGCCCGAUAAGUCCGCUGUGAAAGUCCAGGGCUCAACCCUGGGAUGCCGGUGGAUACUGUCGGGCUCGAGUCCGGAAGAGGAGUGUGGAAUUCCUGGUGUAGCGGUGAAAUGCGCAGAUAUCAGGAGGAACACCAAUGGCGAAGGCAGCACUCUGGGACGGUACUGACGCUGAGACGCGAAAGCGUGGGGGAGCAAACAGG
rnacentral:rRNA from 1 species